AUCCGCCCCAACAUGGCUGGCUGUGUGAGCCUCAGGAACGCUGGCAGCUCUGCAAGACUCUCUGCCAUCUGCAAAAUAAGUAUGAAGAUAUGGUUUCCACACCAAUGUUAGGCCUUCUCAAGGAGCUUAGAGUGUGUCGGUGGAGAGGGAGAAGCCCAACGGGAGAUCUUAUUCCACCUCUGCACGUCUUCAGGACCCCUGUGGAAACAUGUGAUCUCUAACAGUCUCUCUGGGGCUCUGCCCACCCCCAGCAGUGUCACCUCACAUCACCGCACAAUAAGAACUUUCUCAUCAUGAACAUAGCUUUCUCUGGAGAAGCUGGGAAGUGCUUAACUAUGCCAGAAGCUGGACAAUUCAGGUAGAAGUGUAAAUGUUGGCCUAACCUUCAAAGGACAGAAAUAGCUUUCUUUGAAAGUUCUCAAAGGUGUUUCAGAACUCUGGAAAAUUUUAAAUCUUAAAAUAACA
rnacentral:lncRNA from 1 species